rnacentral:rRNA from 1 species
GAUGAACGCUGGCGGCGUGCUUAACACAUGCAAGUCGAACGGAAAGGCCCAAGCUUGCUUGGGUACUCGAGUGGCGAACGGGUGAGUAACACGUGGGUGAUCUGCCCUGCACUUCGGGAUAAGCCUGGGAAACUGGGUCUAAUACCGGAUAGGACGAUGGUUUGGAUGCCAUUGUGGAAAGUUUUUUCGGUGUGGGAUGAGCUCGCGGCCUAUCAGCUUGUUGGUGGGGUAAUGGCCUACCAAGGCGUCGACGGGUAGCCGGCCUGAGAGGGUGUACGGCCACAUUGGGACUGAGAUACGGCCCAGACUCCUACGGGAGGCAGCAGUGGGGAAUAUUGCACAAGGGGCGCAAGCCUGAUGCAGCGACGCCGCGGGGGGGAUGACGGCCUUCGGGUUGUAAACGCCUUUCGCUAGGGACGAAGCGUUUUGUGACGGUACCUGGAGAAGAAGCACCGGCUAACUACGUG